CAGGUCAAAGUUACUUAAAAUCUAAAGCAGAAUACGACAUAGCUAAUCUAUGUGAACUCAUGGAAUCCACUUCACUUAGGCGAAUUGUUCUUAUUUUCCUUGUUUUAGUCACGUCGAAUUGGGCGACAGGAACAUGUAUUGAUCAAGGCGAAUCAUGUAUGGAUCAUGAAGACUGUGAUCCAAUGUGUGUAAACAACGCCAUAGGCAUAUGUGCAGCAUACAAAUGUUUCGUUGACCAGGGAGGUGGACCUUUAAACAAGUAAAGAGAUUGUCAGCGACAAGAUGAUAAACAUUUGUAACAGCAGUAAAGAUUAUUAACCACCACAAAAAGUACAUUGGUUAUUUAGUACAUCUGUUUCAAAUUAUUACACAUCAAAAUACAGUAAACAGGUGAUAAUAAAAUAAAUGUAUUCCGAAAAGCGCA